AUAUAUAUAUAUAUGCAUGUGUGGGUGCAGCGCAUGCUAAUGCAUGCUGUGUGUAUGUGUGUGUUUAUAUAUGUAUAUGUAUAUGCAAGUGUGUGUGAGCAGUGCAUGCUUUGCAUGUGUGUGUGUGUUGAUAAGUAUGGGUUGGGCUCAAGCCCAAACCACCUCUUGAUCCUAACCUAUCCAAAUCCAAAAUCUAUUUCCAUUUCCUAAAAUUCUAUCUUUUGGGUAGUUUACUAAAUUGUACAUUUUCGUGCUUAGGUGAAGUUGCUAGUGGAGACUUUCUUAAUCAUUUUCCGCACAAUUCUGCUGCUACGGAGUAUCUGUGAGUGGACCACCUUCGAAAAUUGCAUGUUUUUAUUGAUAGAAAUGCAUAAUUUAAUAGCAUGCCUUGCAGAAUUAUUGAUUUGAGGAAUACUUUACAGGAAGCAUGAUGAUUUGAUUAUACGUGAUUAUAUAUAUAUGUUUUGAAUUAUUUCCAUUAUAUCGUAUUUUCUAUAGAACCCUCAUUCUAGUAGACUAUCUGAUCGAUGACGAUAGGAUGCUAAGAAUGUGUUUCAAAUGACUUUCGAACACCUCUUCGUAGUAUAGAGGAUCGAUGAAUUUAUGCUACGAAGUUGUAUUUUAGAGAUGAAUUAUGUUUUGUGCGUACCUAGUGAACACUAUGCCGCCUGGGGCGAGGAUCUGGUGUUGGCAUUGAGGCCGGGAGAAAUAAUCCCUAGCGAAAGGCUGAGGGACACGGAGACAGGCAUUGGGCCGGGAGGGAGAUAUCUCUGGCUACGGGCACAGAGACUGAGGUGCAGGCAUUGGGCCGGGAGUAUUGUUAUUCAGUGCACUCACUAGCAGCACAACUUGUGUUAUGCUUCCUGAUACGAUUUCUGAUACGAUUUCUGAUAUGAUUUCUGAUAUGAUUUUCUGAUAUUGAUUUGCAGAUGGAUAUAUGAAUUGUUUUUAUGGCAUGCUAGAGGUUUUGAGAAACCUAUCACUUAUUAUUUAGUAGUUUUCAUUAUCUUAACUGUGGGGGUUAGUAUGUUCAUAACUAUUUUCGUACUAUGUAUGUAUAUAAAUUUGGUCCACUCACCCUUGUUUUGCGCCCCCAUUCAGGAACUUGAAACGAGGCAUAGAAUCCCGGCAUUAAGGUACUUCCGCAGCGGCAUCUUCGAGUCCUCUCGGGGUGUCGGCCAGCACGUGCCUAUCCUGAUAUUCGGGGAAUAUCGGGGUCGGGGCGUGUCAGAUUCUUCCCGGUCUUCGCCAGUUGCAACAAAGCCCAGCUGGGUAUCGAAGAGAAAUGGCAAUCAAACUUCUGUCAGGGUGUUGUUGCCUUUGGAGCAAUUGGAGAGAAAAUGGAGAGCACCACAGAGAGAAGUGAGAGCUGCCGAGAGCAGAGAGAGAUGCAGAGAGCCUAAAACAAGAAAGAGCUGCUGCUCCAUUUGUUAGUAAUCAUCCACCAAGGUGUUGUUGUUGUAUUAGCUUUGAGCUUUGUAUAGAGAGGAAAUUAUUCACAAUAUUUCCUUCUCUAUUUGUUUCUUUGGUGUGUGAGAGCUAUUGGGUGUAUUAGGCAUUUGGGUUGUGAGCUUGCCAACACUUUGUAAACUCCCAUUUAGUUGAUAGUGGAUUAUUAGGUGAGCUCCUACUGCUCCAAGGACGUAAAUGAUGAAAAAAAACGCUGACGGAAGGGGAUAUUUCUUCUCGAUUUCGAAUAAUAACACAACAAAACCAGUUGCGAGUAGAGAAAUGCUUUCAUUUACACAACAAAACUAAGUCGGAACAUUCAACGCUCAAGAACUCCAACCAAACUCUGCAAUUCUCACAUCUUAUAUACAUAUACUUGUACUCCCGGAAAGCAUACGAAGAAAAAAAGACGCAGAUGAAGCGCAAUCACGCAGUGAGCUUCUGGGAAGAUUUGACAGCAUU